rnacentral:rRNA from 1 species
CCCUUAGAUGUCCUGGGCCGCACGCGCGCUACACUGACACACCCAUCAAGCUUACAACCUUGGCCGGGAGGCCUGGGUAAUCUUUGAAAAUGUGUCGUGCUGGGGAUAGACGGUUGCAAUUUUCCGUCUUAAACGAGGAAUUCCUAGUAAACGCAAGUCAUCAACUUGCAUUGAUUACGUCCCUGCCCUUUGUACACACCGCCCGUCGCUACUACCGAUUGAAUGGCUUAGUGAGUUGUCCGGAUUGCGGGCUCUAGUUGGGUUACCUCCUGGAGUCUUGCGAAAAGGAUAUCAAACUUGGUCAUUUAGAGGAAGUAAAAGUCGUAACA